GGCUUAGAAGCAGCCAUCAUUUAAAGAGUGCGUAAUAGCUCACUAGUCGAGUGACACUGCGCCGAAAAUGUACCGGGGCUAAACAUAUUACCGAAGCUGUGGAUUGUCCUUUGGACAAUGGUAGGAGAGCGUUCUAAGGGCGUCGAAGCAUGAUCGCAAGGACAUGUGGAGCGCUUAGAAGUGAGAAUGCCGGUGUGAGUAGCGAAAGACGGGUGAGAAUCCCGUCCACCGAUUGACUAAGGUUUCCAGAGGAAGGCUCGUCCGCUCUGGGUUAGUCGGGUCCUAAGCUGAGGCCGACAGGCGUAGGCGAUGGAUAACAGGUUGAUAUUCCUGUACCACCUAGUAUCGUUUUAAUCGAUGGGGGGACGCAGUAGGAUAGGCGAAGCGUGCUGUUGGAGUGCACGUCCAAGCAGUAAGGCUGAGUGUUAGGCAAAUCCGGCACUCAUAAGGCUGAGCUGUGAUGGGGAGAGGAAAUUGUUUCCUCGAGUCGUUGAUUUCACACUGCCGAGAAAAGCCUCUAGAUAGAUAACAGGUGCCCGUACCGCAAACCGACACAGGUAGUCAAGAUGAGAAUUCUAAGGUGAGCGAGCGAACUCUCGUUAAGGAACUCGGCAAAAUGACCCCGUAACUUCGGGAGAAGGGGUGCUCUUUAGGGUUCACGCCCAGAAGAGCCGCAGUGAAUAGGCCCAAGCGACUGUUUAUCAAAAACACAGGUCUCUGCUAAACCGUAAGGUGAUGUAUAGGGGCUGACGCCUGCCCGGUGCUGGAAGGUUAAGAGGAGUGGUUAGCUUCUGCGAAGCUACGAAUCGAAGCCCCAGUAAACGGCGGCCGUAACUAUAACGGUCCUAAGGUAGCGAAAUUCCUUGUCGGGUAAGUUCCGACCCGCACGAAAGGCGUAACGAUUUGGGCACUGUCUCAACGAGAGACUCGGUGAAAUCAUAGUACCUGUGAAGAUGCAGGUUACCCGCGACAGGACGGAAAGACCCCGUGGAGCUUUACUGUAGCCUGAUAUUGAAAUUCGGCACAGCUUGUACAGGAUAGGUAGGAGCCUUUGAAACGUGAGCGCUAGCUUACGUGGAGGCGUUGGUGGGAUACUACCCUAGCUGUGUUGGCUUUCUAACCCGCACCACUUAUCGUGGUGGGAGACAGUGUCAGGCGGGCAGUUUGACUGGGGCGGUCGCCUCCUAAAAGGUAACGGAGGCGCUCAAAGGUUCCCUCAGAAUGGUUGGAAAUCAUUCAUAGAGUGUAAAGGCAUAAGGG
rnacentral:rRNA from 1 species